UAGGGAAUCUUCGGCAAUGGACGAAAGUCUGACCGAGCAACGCCGCGUGAGUGAAGAAGGUUUUCGGAUCGUAAAACUCUGUUGUUAGAGAAGAACAAGGACGUUAGUAACUGAACGUCCCCUGACGGUAUCUAACCAGAAAGCCACGGCUAACUACGUGCCAGCAGCCGCGGUAAUACGUAGGUGGCAAGCGUUGUCCGGAUUUAUUGGGCGUAAAGCGAGCGCAGGAGGUUUCUUAAGUGUGAUGUGAAAGCCCCCGGCUCAACCGGGGAGGGUCAUUGGAAACUGGGAGACUAGAGUGCAGAAGAGGAGAGUGGAAUUCCAGGUGUAGCGGUGAAAUGCGUAGAUAUAUGGAGGAACACCAGUGGCGAAGGCGGCUAUCUGGUCUGUAAAUGACGCUGAGGGACGAAAGCGUGGGGAGCAAACGGG
rnacentral:rRNA from 1 species